rnacentral:sRNA from 1 species
GCCAGGUAUGGUGGUGCACACCUGUAAUCCAAGUAACUCUGGAGGCUGAGGUAGGAGGAUUGCAAAUUCAAGGCCAGCCUCAG